rnacentral:rRNA from 1 species
UACGAAGGGGGCUAGCGUUGUUCGGAAUCACUGGGCGUAAAGGGCGCGUAGGCGGCUUUAUAAGUCGGGGGUGAAAGCCUGUGGCUCAACCACAGAAUUGCCUUCGAUACUGUAGAGCUUGAGACCGGAAGAGGUAAGUGGAACUGCGAGUGUAGAGGUGAAAUUCGUAGAUAUUCGCAAGAACACCAGUGGCGAAGGCGGCUUACUGGUCCGGUUCUGACGCUGAGGCGCGAAAGCGUGGGGAGCAAACAGGAUUAGAAAACCCU